rnacentral:rRNA from 1 species
GAUGAACGCUGGCGGCGUGCUUAACACAUGCAAGUCGAACGAAGCAUUUGCGACAGAUUUUUUCGGAAUGAAGUUGCUUAUGACUGAGUGGCGGACGGGUGAGUAACGCGUGGGUAACCUGCCUUGUACUGGGGGAUAGCAGCUGGAAACGGCUGGUAAUACCGCAUAAGCGCACAAUGUUUCAUGACAUGGUGUGAAAAACUCCGGUGGUAUAAGAUGGACCCGCGUCUGAUUAGCUAGUUGGUGAGAUAACAGCCCACCAAGGCGACGAUCAGUAGCCGACCUGAGAGGGUGACCGGCCACAUUGGGACUGAGACACGGCCCAGACUCCUACGGGAGGAAGCAGUGGGGAAUAUUGCACAAUGGAGGAAACUCUGAUGCAGAGACGCCGCGUGAGUGAAGAAGUAAUUCGUUAUGUAAAGCUCUAUCAGCAGGGAAGAUAGUGACGGUACCUGACUAAGAAGCUCCGGCUAAAUACGUG